rnacentral:rRNA from 1 species
GAUGAACGCUGGCGGCGUGCCUAAUACAUGCAAGUCGAGCGAAUGGAUUGAGAGCUUGCUCUUAUGAAGUUAGCGGCGGACGGGUGAGUAACACGUGGGUAACCUGCCCAUAAGACUGGGAUAACUCCGGGAAACCGGGGCUACUACCAGAUAAUAUUUUGAACUGCAUGGUUCAAAAUUGAAAGGCGGCUUCGGCUGUCACUUAUGGAUGGACCCGCGUCGCAUUAGCUAGUUGGUGAGGUAACGGCUCACAAAGGCAACGAUGCGUAGCCGACCUGAGAGGGUGAUCGGCCACACUGGGACUGAGACACGGCCCAGACUCCUACGGGAGGCAGCAGUAGGGAAUCUUCCGCAAUGGACGAAAGUCUGACGGAGCAACGCCGCGUGAGUGAUGAAGGCUUUCGGGUCGUAAAACUCUGUUGUUAGGGAAGAACAAGUGCUAGUUGAAUAAGCUGGCACCUUGACGGUACCUAACCAGAAAGCCACGGCUAACUACGUGCCAGCCGCCGCGGUAA